CUGCAUACUAAUCUCAUGGCGUCAAAAACGCAUGUAUACAAAUUGCCCCCCAGCAAAGAUGUUUCGACUGUUUUGGAGAAACAGUCAUUUGUUGUCAACCAGUGUUUUGAUGCCAUGUCAUUUAAUUUCAUUAUUUCCAAGUUUUUUGUAAUCUCAAGUUCCAAUACAGAUUCGUCAUUACACUUUCUCCAAGAUGUCAUGUGUAGCCCACGUUCAGACUUUACCUCCAUCAUUUCCUAACAUCAUGGCCUCUUUUCAACUUCCACCUCUUCAACAUCACCAUGAAAAU
rnacentral:lncRNA from 1 species